CAGUGGGUUAGAGCAGGGUGGGCUGGGAGCCAGGACUCCUGGGUUCUGUCCCUGCUCUGGGAGGGGAGUGGGGGCUAGUGGGUAGAGCAGGGACUGGCCUACACGACCAUUCACCCAAAAGUUACCUGAAUUAAUUUGCUCCUUUGGCCUUGCUGUUUGGCCUGUCAAAGCUGUGAGUUCACAGACCCUCCCAGGGCUGACGCACUCCCUCGACUGCAGUUUUGGAAGGUCCCUUUUAAGACAAUAACCGCUGCUGCCCCUGUCUGCAUGCUGCUCGCGGGCUGUUUCCAAGAGCUGCAGUGCUUUGUGAUUUCUCCUUGCAGCACUUCAAGGGUUUCACAUCCUCCUAAUUUGGGAUCAGCAGCCAGAUGUGUUGAUUACUGCAAUCACAGGGGAAGGUGGCCCAUACAUUGUUAAUAGCCUGAUUGAUGAUGAACCGAAGGUGUUGGGGUAUCAUGCAGAACAGGGUCCCCCGGAGCAGUGCGGUUUACUGGCCUGGCUCUGAGUUUGCAGUAUGAAAGAGGGAGUGAUCGCAGAGUCAUAAAUGGCUGGCAGGGGCUUGUACCACUGGCAGGUAGCCAGGGGCUGGAACGAUGGAAUUAAUUCAGACUGGUCCUUUGGACAAAGCAUCACUCGAGGUGGGGGGACGGGGAGAGAAUGCUUUACGCAGAGGGGAUGAGCUGGUGAGCUUAAAAGUCAGGACUCCUGGGUUCUCUCCCCAGCUCUGGACAGGUGUUGGGUCUGUAGCCUGGUCUCGUGGCAGGUUCACACUGGAGGUUUAUGACCCUCUGCUGGCUGGGGAGACGGGGGCUAGUCUGGUGCCCGUGGUCCCGGCUGCUGUGUCCCCCUAUGCCUCACAGGUCUCCGGGGAGGUGCCUGCCAGGGGGUUGUGUGUGUUGGGGGGCAGUUGGCCCCAAUGCCUGGGGGUCACAAUGGGGAGAUGAUCUCUCUCACCCUCCAUCCAUCUCAUCUCCAACACCAAAUUCAGCCAAAGGUUUAGGCAUUCAAGUUUAUUGAAUCACUGAAGCUGUUCCAAACAGCCUAUCCCAGCGCGGACAGCAAGAGACCCUACCAUAAACAAUCCCGUAAACAAGGCAACCCAUGGAACAAGCCCACUCCACUUCAAGAAAAAUGCCCCUCUUUAAAUGCAGAGGAUUCCCUCGGUCAGAGCCAGGUCCCAAACAUCCUGGGGGCUUGUCUCUCUCCUUGUGAGCGAAGCUGCCGCAUAGGAACAGAGAUCAAAUGAAUCCGGCGAUCGAUCUGUAAUUGUGUCACAUCCUGCCCUGUGCUGGGGAAUUAAUCGGUCUGUCGAGGUUAAUGGAAUGUCAGUUAAUUUCUUAGCGCGCGGUUGCCGGAGCUGCCUGGUAAACGCUUAUUGAUUUCAACACAAUUAAAGAUAAACUGAGCACAGGCGGGUCCGGGUGGCAUCAAUGCCACAGUGACACGGAGGAGGAAUCGGAGGAGCAAAUACUGGCUGUGUCGGUGCCCCUGGGUGCACAAGUGGCAUCUACAGGUGUUUUCAAAGCGCGGUGCAGUGACAGAGCACGAGAGUCUCUGCCCCGGAGAGUGCCCCACCACAGUGACAAAGACAGAACCCUUGUCUCUCUCUCACAGCCGAGGCCCAGAGAGAGAGUGGCAGCAGUAUUCUCCAAUGAGCGCGGUGCCCUUUCAAGUGGCCACAUUGUCCAGAGGUCUCAGCAUGCUGGAUGCUGCUGCUUUUUGGAGAAACGGGCCCAUGGUUCGGUACCUGAAGGGGAGAGGGGCUCUUCUGACAAGCUGCCCCAAAGUGGCUGCCCUAGGUCACGCAGCAGGGGAGUUGCAGAGCAGGGAUUUGAAGCUGGGUCUCCUGGGAAGCCGUCCAGUGUUGUGUGCCCAGCCACCCACCCAUCCUGCGUCUGGGUGCAUUGUAAAUACAGUGACAGCUUGGUUAGCCAGCUGCCUGUCUGCGGAGACAGGAUGUCAGAUCAGACACUGCUCACUCCCUCAGGGAUGGCGUCUCCCAGUUUGCAAAGCCAGCAGCUCCUCUGGGCCAGGCGCGUUAGAUAGUUUAGUCUCUUCAAACAGACUUCCAGCCCCAUGCAUUGGAGGGUGGUAGAGUGGGGCUGGGCUCCUCAGAACUGGGUCUACCAAUGAAGACUGGAGCCAGACCCAGGCCUCACAGGCUGCUCUCAGACUGGUGUAAAUCCAGUGUGACGCUGCUGAAGCUGGGGGCAUUACAGGGCCAUAUGUGACAGCAGCGCCCCCUGACAGCUGCCCUAUCCAACUGCAAUCUUACUGUUCCCGGAGAGAAGAGAGGUGUUCUGUGCAGACGGCCGGCCCGCGAGGGGGCAGGACAGGCAGCCGUGCAGGAGUGUGUUGGUUUUCUCACAGCCAGAGGGGACAUCCACGCUGUGGCUGAGACAUGAUAAAUCCUUCGCCGUUGUAAAACCAGCCAGCCCCUGCUGUUUAAUGCGCCACAUGCAGCUUUGCAUCCAAACUCUGCUGCGAUUUACAAGUGGAGAGCAUUUGGGAACCAGGCACCAGGCAGCUUGGGCUGGGAUGGUGAGAGCUGAGCGCAUUUGGAACUGCUCUUUAACGAGGGAUUUUUAAUGAUGAUGUGACAUUAAAAGUCCCCAAGACGGGAUGUGGGGCGGGGGUGCUGUAGUAUGAGAUUUACAAACCCUCUUGCGCUAAGUGUUUAAAUGAUGGAAGCUCUGUUCCUGCGCAGUAAUUAGGGCAUAAAUUGUAUUUAUAACUCAUAAACAGAAAUGUCACCAGUUUCAUGAACUGAGGCUUGAGAUAAUAAAAGGAUAUUGUAGUUCAUCAUCGGGGCGAUGGAGGGAGAUCGAUCAGAAUUACAGCCUAGGAAAGCUGCGUCCGCGAGUGGCAUUUCUCUGAUGCAUGACUUGUUCGGUGCACGGGCAUGGGGCCGAGAAUGGAGAUCACUGGGCUGGUGGGAGGAGAAAUCCAUCUGCCUCUGGGUCAGGGUGGUAGGGAGAUGCUAGGCCUCGUGCUGGCCCCUCUAGUCUCCAUUCCCGAGUUCAAAGCAGCCUGGGAGAGGCCCUGUAUUCGUCAUGUCUCUGACACUCCGCUCAAGGCCCCAUCCAUCCACUCGCCGCAGCAGAGCUCCCUCGGCCGCGCCGAGGACCCCAGGGGAUACGUUUACUUUAUGCAUCGGAGCCCGCCAGGCCCCGGAGGCCGAGCAGAGACACUGUUAUUGUAGGCAGAGAGUUAUGGCCGCUCAUCACACGGGGUGAGGGACGUGUGGGGAAUGCACAGCUGCUGGCCAGGCCAGGCAGGGGAAUGAAUCCCUCCUAAAUGGCGGUGCAUGCGGAGCGGUCACCCGAAAGGCUGCUGAAUCCUCUCCCAGAGCAGCGCACUAAGCUGCAAAGAGCCCGGCAGCUCGGAAGGAUGGUGGAGAGUGUGUGUGUGUGGGGGGGAAUAUCUGACUGGGCUGCCCCUCCGUUUGAAUGUCCUGCCCCAGGCGGCCCCUCUCCGGCAAGCAGCCUUUGGAGGGCGUGAGCGGCUCGUGGGUUAUGUCAAUGGGUCAGGGAGGGCAGCAGUGCCUAGUGGUUUGAGCCGAGGUGUGCUGAGGGGGGGCUUGUCUGGGUGUCAGGACUCCUGGGUUCUAUCUACAGCACAGGGAGGGGGUGCGAGAAGGGAGACGGGCAUCUCUCUCUCUGUUUGGGCGCCAAUCUCCAUGCUCAUGCAAUGACCAGGAGCUCCAAGCAGCUUCCCUGCUGGUCUCCCUGCUGCUGUCUUCCAAACUCUUCUCCAGGAAUCCUGAUGAAUGGUCUAGGAUGAGGGCAGAGGGGUGGGAGCCCUCCAGGGUCUGGUAAUGGCCAGAGACAGCCCCAUGUAAUACGUGAGGGGGCUAUGAAAGAUUGUGGAUGGCAGCGGAUAUUAAGGGCAAUGACGUAACUCAACCUCCUUAGAUAUUGUAGCUGAUGGAUUUCAAUAUGCACCAGGUGGGAGAACAUGGAAAUGCCAAGAGAGAAAUCAAUGGAUCAGAGACCAGAAGAAGGACGCCUGGGAUCGGCCUGGUAUUUUUCAACUCAGUCUGCGGAUGAGAGGUCAGGGCAGCAAGUAAACUUCCCCUUAGCAAGUAUAUAUAAAGAAGCAGCAGAGAGAGUCGGCUGCUGGCACCACACCAGUCUGAGAACGCUGCCACACAUAGGGUCAGCUGGGCUCUCCAGCCGAUGGCCUCUUAAGCUAAUGCAGGACAGCCGUAGAGGACGAAAAAUGACAAUUGGACUUUGUGGAAAAUUCCCUCCACCUCCCAAAGUUUGGGGUUUUUUUUUCAUUGAAGCCGAAUCCCCCUCAAACUCUUGUUUUCAAAUACCUCGAACCUGGGAAAGGUUCUGUGUUUUCAUCCAAAAGGGGGAAAAAAGGAAAAUUUCACUCCAAAUAGAAAUUUUUCAUGAAAAUGGUCAUUUUGGUCAAACCAACAAAGAAAAAACCCACAAACUUUUCAUAAAAAAGUUUAGAUGAAAAAUAUUCCCACCAGCCCUGCCUGGGAGUGCGAGGCAUUUCCGGCUGCCGCCGUCUCUCUGUGGCUGUGUGUGGCCAGAGCCACCUGCGCUGAGGAGCCCAUGGGAUGAGGCAAGGACGGGCAUGGGCUCUCUGCCACCGGGACUGCUGAGCUCUGAGCCAGCUGGGAAAUCUCUCCCCCACAUUGUCCAGGUUUUAAAGGCCGGGGUCUCAAAUGGGCCAGGAGUCCCGCCCUUUGAUGUGAGUGGCGGCAGGUCUUGGCCUGUUGGGAAACCCCUCCCUAAAGGUUCCUGCCUUGUCCCUCAGAGACACCCCGCGUCCCAGUCACGCUCUGGGUGACUCACGUCGGCAGGUUGCUGGGUUUUGAAUGGGGGGGACGAUCGGUCCCACAUGCCAGAAACGCUUUGUGCCACAGUACGAGGAAACUAAGGGGCUGCCUCAGCGACGAGCUGCUCCGGCCAUGUCCAGCGGACGCGCUCUGUGCGAGGCACGUGCGGGGUUUUCAAGGCCCGACGGGUCCAUCGUGACCAUCCGGCCUGAGCUGCUGCCGUCGCCUGAGUCGGAGGGGCUCGCGCCAUGACUCUCGCUGUACCAGAGCCAGGGGCUGAAUUCCAGUGACAAUCGGAGGCCGUGGAGCAGGGCAGGGAGGUAGGAUGCUGAUCUCCCCUCAGGCUGUAGCGGAGCCCCACAGAUGUGGGGAGGCCUGGACGGGGGUGCAGGGGAGUAUCUGAAUAUGGAGCUAGCUGCUGUUGGUUUCGGGCCCUAUUUCUGCAGGCGGGUCACGUGGGGGGUGUGGGUGUGUGUGUGUGUAAUCUGCUGCCCUUAAGGCCUCCCCAUCGCUGGCCUUUAUUUCUGUCUCCCACCUUCCUGGGAUACAAAGAGGGCCAGGAGUGGCUUCCUUUUCCUGAGAGGUGGGCAAAAGUUUGGGACUGCAGUGUUAAACCGUCAUUGUUAUGUUUCAGAGUGAACACCCGCUAAGCUGAAUGUAGGGGGAGUUCACGUCUCCCUGAGCCAUUACGGUAUUUCAGGCUCUCUGCUCAGUAGCAAGUCAGAAAUGGAGCACCCAGCUAUACUCUCCCACUGGGAGGGGAGGGGGCCUAAUGGAUUCAAGCGAGGGGAUGCUGGGAGCCCGGACUCCUGGGUUCUAUCCCCCCGAGCUCUGGGAGGGGAGUGAGGUCUAGUGGUUAGAGCAGGGUGGUGGUGGCUGGGAGUCAGGACUUCUGGGUUCAGUUCCCAGCAGAGGCAGGCAAACUGGAAAUCGGCGGAUACCAAACAUUCUCGGGUGCCCAGCACUUUCCGCUCGAGAGAGGGGCACGCGGAUACGCGGAUUGAUUGAUUUACCUGUCCGGGGCUCCUGAGCUGGGCAGAGCGUAUUUGCGAGUGUGUUCUGAUUUGCAUCCCCUGCCCCUGCAGUACACACGCUGGAAGGAACCCAUCCCCCGACCCCUUGUCCCUGUCUUCUCCGCUCCACAACAGACCAGGCGCCGAUGGCUUUCCGCAGAGAAUACAGGGAACAGAAUGAGCCCCCACCCGCCUGACUCCAGACUGGGGCUCGGCCCGACGCAGCCUGUGAAGCCGCGGCGGAUUCAGACUGAGCGAGCCAGGGCCGGGGGAGAGACGGACCACGGGGGCAGAGUGUUUUGCUUCCCCGCCAUUGCACAUGGCAAGAUUUCCGUGCGCUCUGCUGGCAGGCAUUUCUGUGUUGGACUGAAGUCCCAGGCCAAAUCUGCAUCUGAAAGCCAAAGCAGGAAACACGCGAGUGUCUGUGCAGUUCGUUCCCGGAUUGUUUCCAGACGGAAGGGAGCUUUCAGCAGCCUCUGGUGUUUGCAGUUUUGAUCAAUAGCAGCCGCGUUCCAAUCACUGACGGCUCAGCACUACAGGGUGUAUUCAAAGGAUGCUGGGGCAGGGACACCAGGAAAGUCUGGAUUCGCAUUCUCUCCCUGUCCGCUCGUCUAAAGUUAAUUUGCUAAUGUUGUACUAUUAAAUUCUGCUUGGCGUUUUCAUUCUGAGCUCCAGCAUGCACAGAUGAUUAUUUAUGAGCUACAACUGAUUUGCAUUGUGCAUAUGUAAUAUCUGCCCAUCCCUCCUCCCCCUCAGUCUGAUAAUGUGCUUUUCAGGGCAUCAGCACUUUCACAGUGUGCUCUGGAGAUGAUUCCGAGGCCGUCAUGUUUCUCUCCAUGCCACUGCCCCGGAUUUAACGUUCUCCCCUGGCUCAAAGGAACAGGACAGUACUGAGCCACGGGCUCUUGGGGGCUAACCCCCCCCCCGUACCCCGUCACCAUCAUGAGAGCUGCAGUGUUGGGCAGUCUUGGAAAUGGGCAGCAUUUGGGAUGGCAAAGGGACGUCCGAGGAUAC